rnacentral:rRNA from 1 species
GGAGUUAGCCGGUGCUUCUUCUGUGAGUGAUGUCCUUCCUGCCGGCUAUUAACCCGCAGGCCUUCUUCCUCACUGAAAGUGCUUUACAACCCGAAGGCCUUCUUCACACACGCGGCAUGGCUGGAUCAGGGUUGCCCCCAUUGUCCAAUAUUCCCCACUGCUGCCUCCCGUAGGAGUCUGGGCCGUGUCUCAGUCCCAGUGUGGCUGAUCAUCCUCUCAGACCAGCUACGGAUCGUCGCCUUGGUGAGCCGUUACCUCACCAACCAGCUAAUCCGACAUAGGCUCAUCCGAUAGCGCGAGGCCCGAAGGUCCCCCGCUUUCCCCCGUAGGGCGUAUGCGGUAUUAGCCUGGGUUUCCCCAGGUUAUCCCCCACUACCGGGCAGAUUCCUAUGCAUUACUCACCCGUCCGCCGCUCGCCACCAGGGAGCAAGCUCCCCGUGCUGCCGCUCGACUUGCAUGUGUUAGGCCCGCCGCCAGCGUUCAAUCUGAACCAAGAUCAAAUUCUGA